CUGAUAAAGCCAUUAAAUUUAAGGAUAAAAUCAAGACACUUGAAAAAAAUAAUGAAAUUCUGGGUGACACAGCUAAAAAUCUUCGUGUUAUGUUAGAAUCUGAGAGAGAACAGAAUGUCAAGAAUCAGGAUUUGAUAUCAGAAAACAAGAAAUCUAUAGAGAAGUAAAAAUAUGUUAUUUCCAUGAAUGCUUCAGAAUUUUCAGAGGUAAAGAUGACUAUAAUUCCUGCAGGAUAUUAAAACUAUAUCAUAGUUUUAUUGAGGAGCAAAAAUUUGACACUUGCUAAAAUGUGCAAAAAAUGAAAACUACCUGAUGCUGGGUU